rnacentral:rRNA from 1 species
UACGUAGGGUGCAAGCGUUGUCCGGAAUUAUUGGGCGUAAAGAGCUCGUAGGCGGUUUGUCGCGUCUGCUGUGAAAACUCGGGGCUUAACCCCGGGCCUGCAGUGGGUACGGGCAGACUAGAGUGAUGUAGGGGAGACUGGAAUUCCUGGUGUAGCGGUGAAAUGCGCAGAUAUCAGGAGGAACACCGAUGGCGAAGGCAAUCCCCUGGACCUGUACUGACGCUCAUGCACGAAAGCGUGGGGAGCAAACAGG